CAGCUUCAGAGCUAUAUAAAGAGGGGGAGACAACGUGUCUACUCCAUACUCCACAGACUUUGCAUCCUGAAAACACAGACCGGGAGAGUUACUCCCUCUCAGAGGCCGCUAUUUCAACAGCCAUGUACCACCUUCUGCAACUCACCAUCCUCAGUCUCUUGUGUCUCCACGCCCCAGGCUGGGUAAUUAAAAGAUCCACACAGAAUAAACCAUGGAAAGCUCUGGACCAGCUGCAGAACAGAGAGCUGUUUCUUACUGCCCUACAAUCCUACUUCAGCAACAAGGGCAUCCCCGUGGACAGAACAGCUCCUGCCUUCAUCUUCCCCUUGAUGGAGCAUGACACGAAGCAUGGAACAUGGAGCAUGAUGGAGCAUGGAACACAGGAAGAUCAAGCUCUGGUGACGCUGGAGCCCAGGGGGUAUGAGUAGAUACACCAGGAGGGCAGGUGAAAUAUCGUCCCUUUGAUCAUGUUUACCCCAGUUCAACUCCACUUGACUACUCUGGGAGUCACAGUCUGACUUUUUAUACAUGCCGGAGACUUGUAGCUUUGAGGAUUACAGGAAUGAAUGAAUCCCUUUGUGUUUUAAGCAACCUCAGCCUCAAUAAAUUCUGCCUGUGUUCCA